ACGGGAGGCAGCAGUAGGGAAUAUUGGUCAAUGGGGGAAACCCUGAACCAGCGACGCCGCGUGAGUGAAGAAGUAUUUCGGUAUGUAAAGCUCUAUCAGCAGGGACGAUAAUGACGGUACCUGACUAAGAAGCCCCGGCUAACUACGUGCCAGCAGCCGCGGUAAUACGUAGGGGGCAAGCGUUAUCCGGAUUUACUGGGUGUAAAGGGAGCGUAGGUGGCCAUGCAAGUCAGAUGUGAAAUCCCGGGGCUCAACCCCGGAGCUGCAUUUGAAACUGCGUAGCUAGAGUGCAGGAGAGGUAAGCGGAAUUCCUAGUGUAGCGGUGAAAUGCGUAGAUAUUAGGAGGAACACCAGUGGCGAAAGCGGCUUGCUGGACUGCAACUGACACUGAGGCUCGAAAGCGUGGGGAGCAAACAGGAUUAGAUACCCUGGUA
rnacentral:rRNA from 1 species